AGAGUUUGAUCAUGGCUCAGGACGAACGCUGGCGGCGUGCUUAACACAUGCAAGUCGAGCGAGGCUCUCCCUUCGGGGAGAUGCCCUAGCGGCGAACGGGUGAGUAACACGUGGGCAACCUGCCCCUAGCACUGGGAUAACCCCGGGAAACCGGGGCUAAUACCGGAUACGACCUCGGAGAGCAUUCUCUGAGGUGGAAAGAUUUAUCGGCUAGGGAUGGGCCCGCGGCCUAUCAGCUUGUUGGUGGGGUAACGGCCUACCAAGGCGACGACGGGUAGCCGGCCUGAGAGGGCGACCGGCCACACUGGGACUGAGACACGGCCCAGACUCCUACGGGAGGCAGCAGUGGGGAAUAUUGCACAAUGGGCGAAAGCCUGAUGCAGCGACGCCGCGUGAGGGAUGACGGCCUUCGGGUUGUAAACCUCUUUCAGUAGGGACGAAGCGAAAGUGACGGUACCUGCAGAAGAAGCACCGGCCAACUACGUGCCAGCCGCCGCGGUAAUUC
rnacentral:rRNA from 1 species